CCUUCUUUCCCUGUUUUGAUUGUCUCUGCUUCCAGACUAUUGUUCUGGUCUGUAUUUUUGCAUGUGUUUGAUGAAGAUGACAAUGAAUUAGAAGUUCUUGAAAUAAUUCAUCAUUAUGUGGAGAUUCUUGAUCGGUAUUUUGGCAGUACGGAGAAAACCAAGAGAUCUGAUAUAAAUAGACCAAAAGGAAUUAUCAGCUCAGUUGAAAUAUCUACUGGUUUUGGAUUUGGUUACAUAUUAGGCAUUACCUUUGCAGUUACUGAUAUCCCUUACCUAUUGAGUGAAGACAAUGAUGCUGGUGGAUAUGCCAUUGCUCAAAUAUUUUAUAUGGAAUUCAAGAAAAUAUAUGGCCAUGGAUUUGGGGUUUUUAUGUGCUUGGUGAUUAUUGCUAUUACCAUAUUUUUCUGUGGUAUGGGUUCAAUUACCAGCAACUCAAGGUAAAUGUACCUAAAAUUUGGUGCUGUGCAUGUUGCAUUUGCAUAUUAGAGGCUUUAUAAUCUCUCUAGUUGUUUAUAUUUAAGUACUUAAAAAAUGUACAGGAUGGCUUAUGCUUUCUCAAUAGAUGGGGCCAUGCCCUUGUCAUCAUUGUGGCAUAAAGUUAAUUAGAAGGAGGUUCUUAUAAAUGCUGUUUGGCUUUCUGUUUUGAUUUCAUUUUGCUUGGCUCUAACGGUAUGUGCUUUUUUAUUUUGUUAAGAAAUAUUAAAUAUUUUAAAUUUUAAAAUGCUCUUAAAACUACAUCUUCUCUUAUUUGUCCUUGGCAACAAUGUAGGGGAACUAGUAUUUAUCUAACUCUGCUAGAGAUUCAUAAGCACUAUUCAGUUUAUAGUCUCUAGUACAAGUGUUAUGCUAACUGAAAGUAGAAACUAAAUAACAGAAUUGUAACUAACCACUAACUGUGAGCUAACCAAUUCUAUAUAAACAAUGCUAUUUGUGUGUGUGAAAUCUGUUCUUGGCAAAUAUCUAACUCAACUCUAAUUCUAUUAUAGUCUCUUGGAAGUAUGGUAGUAUUUCAGGCCACAGUGUUAAUAGCAGUAAUUACUAUUUAUAUAGCAUAUGCACUUCCAAUAUUCUUCGGAGUGACAUUGACAGCAAAGCAUUUUGUGCCUGGGGCUUUCAACUUGGGCCGGUAUGGGCUCAUUCUGGGUUGCAGUUAUCUGGGUUGUGAUAAGCUUUAAAGUCGUCAGGAUGAUUUAGAGUCUCUUGGCUAUGUGCUUAUGUAUUUCUUAAGAGGAAGCCUUCCCUGACAGGGUCUGAAAGCUGUCACCAAAAAGGAAAAAUAUGAUAGGAUUUGUGAGAAGAAGUUGUCAACUCCCAUUGAGAUGCUUUGCAAGUCAUAUCCCGUGGAGUUCGCUUCUUACUUUCAUUAUUGCCACUCCUUGACAUUUGAUCAACUACCAGAUUAUGGAUUCUUGAAGUGCUUGUUUCGUGAUUUGUUCUCUCGUGAAGAAUUUGAAUCUGACAAUUUGUUUGACUGGACCAUUCUAAAGUACCAGCAGACACAGCAGAGACACAAAUAGCUACAAAAUCAAACAACUCCUUCAGCUGUUGUGCCUAGCAGUUUAGAACCCAUGGCUACGGACAAGAAUACAGGUUCAGGAGUCAAUGAUUCAACUCAUGUAACUGCAACAAGACAGUUGGCGAACCAGAGUCAUGAUCGUCCAAGCGCAACUGCACAGUCAUGAAAUUGCAAGUCUUGCAUUUCUUGCCUCCAAUCCCUCUUUAAAUGUGUAUUCUUGUCCUUCCUGUGUUUAAGAAAUUUUAGAAAAUUCUAAGGAUGCUACUCUACUAAUGUUUCUGAGACAUGGAUGUAAUUUUCACUCCAUAUGGAUAUAUAACUGUACAUUAUUGAAUGAAUUGAGUUAUAUGCAAAGAAAUAUUAUAUAGAUAAUCUAUUUUUCAUAUA